UCUGAUGAUGAGAACCCUGUCCAGUUCUGCUACUGAGCUCGAGUGACGACAGUGGUUAUCUGAAGAGA